rnacentral:rRNA from 1 species
GACGAACGCUGGCGGCGUGCUUAACACAUGCAAGUCGAACGGAAAGGCCCUGCUUGCAGGGUACUCGAGUGGCGAACGGGUGAGUAACACGUGGGUGAUCUGCCCUGCACUUCGGGAUAAGCCUGGGAAACUGGGUCUAAUACCGGAUAGGAGCCAUUUUUAGUGUGAUGGUUGGAAAGUUUUUUCGGUGUAGGAUGAGCUCGCGGCCUAUCAGCUUGUUGGUGGGGUAAUGGCCUACCAAGGCGGCGACGGGUAGCCGGCCUGAGAGGGUGGACGGCCACAUUGGGACUGAGAUACGGCCCAGACUCCUACGGGAGGCAGCAGUGGGGAAUAUUGCACAAUGGGCGCAAGCCUGAUGCAGCGACGCCGCGUGGGGGAUGACGGCCUUCGGGUUGUAAACUCCUUUCGCUAGGGACGAAGCUUUUUGUGUCGGUACCUAGAUAAGAAGCACCGGCUAACUACGUG